rnacentral:rRNA from 1 species
GAUGAACGCUAGCGGCAGGCUUAACACAUGCAAGUCGAGGGGUAUUGGUUUUCGGACCAAGAGACCGGCGCACGGGUGCGUAACGCGUAUGCAAUCUACCUUUUGCAGAGGGAUAGCCCCAGAGAAAUUUGGAUUAAUACCUCAUAGUAUAGUACUUUGGCAUCAAGGAACUAUUAAAGUCACAACGGCAAAAGAUGAGCAUGCGUCCCAUUAGCUAGUUGGUAAGGUAACGGCUUACCAAGGCUACGAUGGGUAGGGGUCCUGAGAGGGAGAUCCCCCACACUGGUACUGAGACACGGACCAGACUCCUACGGGAGGCAGCAGUGAGGAAUAUUGGACAAUGGGCGCAAGCCUGAUCCAGCCAUGCCGCGUGCAGGAAGAAGGUCCUAUGGAUUGUAAACUGCUUUUAUACAAGAAGAAACACUCCCUCGUGAGGGAACUUGACGGUACUGUAUGAAUAAGGACCGGCUAACUCCGUGCCAGCAGCCGCGGUAAAGUG